rnacentral:lncRNA from 1 species
UCAGAUCUUGAUACCCACAAAAUACAUAAACUAGUAUAUACAUGCAUUCAUUCUUCUUAUUUGCAUAUCAUGUACAAAAGAAAUGAUGCAUAAACUGCAGUUGGAUUCAAUAACCUCUCAAGGAAGUGCAGUGCAAUCCUCAACAUAAUGAAGAUUCAAGAGGUGUUUUCAUGAGUAGAAUAGUUAGUUUCUUCAGUGAGUACUUUUAGAAGUCGGUCAUUGUCAAUUUUAAUUCUCAAGACGAG